rnacentral:rRNA from 1 species
ACUAAGUUUCAACAACGGAUCUCUUGGCUCUCGCAUCGAUGAACAACGCAGCGAAACGCGAUAAGUAACUGUGAAUUGCAGAAUUCAGUGAAUCAUCGAAUCUUUGAACGCACCUUGCGCUCCUUGGUAUUCCUUGGAGCAUGCCUGUUUGAGUAUCAUGAAAU